GCCUGGGUGGCUCAAUGGUUGAGCAUCUGCCUUUGACUCAGGUGGUGACCCUGGGGUCCUGGGAUCAAGUCCCGCAUCGGGCU
rnacentral:tRNA from 1 species